rnacentral:ncRNA from 1 species
CAAAAGGCUAUGAAUCGGAGUAGUAGCUGGCAAGCGACGCACAGAGAGCUUCCGAAAGGUGUGAGGGAAGCGCGAGGCGCGGUCAGCGAAUGGACCGACAAGCUGCGUGGGCGAAAGAGUGCGUCGAGUAGCUUACGACGGAACGCCACCGUUAUCAGGGCUGAGGGUAUGGGGUUUAUCCUGUACCCGACCGAGCGGGGUCUGUCGUUACCUCAGAGCGUCAAAUUCGUCGAGGAACUAACAGUCCAAUCAGGGUGGCACCGCGGGAAAACCUCUCGUCCCUAGA